CUGAUCCAGCCAUGCCGCGUGUGUGAAGAAGGUCUUCGGAUUGUAAAGCACUUUAAGUUGGGAGGAAGGGCAGUAAGUUAAUACCUUGCUGUUUUGACGUUACCAACAGAAUAAGCACCGGCUAACUUCGUGCCAGCC
rnacentral:rRNA from 1 species